GAAAAAGAUGAAGGAAAGGCCUGACUUUUGUAUCUAGUCACAGACACUGCCAGAAGGCAGCAACACAACAUGAAGCUCAUUCCAACUGAAACACAACAAAGGAGAUACCACAGAUAUUUUGAACAGGAUCUGGGGGCCAGAAGAGCAGGAAGAAGACGGAACACACAUCCAAAUAUAGUGGUGAAAAGGCAGAUUCUUGUAGGUUGUGACAAGGAAGUUAAUAUCCACCAGCAGGAAUGGUCAUUGUCUCUUUCCAAUAGCUGUUUUCUUAAGAAUGGUGCUGGAGAACAUCAUUUCAGUGAUGGACAAAAGUUAUCACACCUACUGCUACAUUACAAA
rnacentral:lncRNA from 1 species